UGUUAGCUCAUUAGGAUGGAUUGUGAUGUUAUUUUGUGUGGGUUUGUUGUGGUUUGAGGAAAGGGUUUGAUGUUAUGGUGGUGUUUUGGCUUGAGAAAAGAAAAGGAGAAUUUAGAAGAGAAGAUUAAGAGAUGGAUUUUUGGAGCUUUAGCUAUGGAGGUAUACUUGAGCAAGCAUUAUAGGAACCGCAGAUUAGGUGAUCCAGAUUUCGUUCUAGAUUUUGAGGAGAUUUAUGUUAUUGAUUCAAAGACAAGUCUAUUACAAUUUACAAGAGCUAAAGUGGUGGUAAGGGACAUCUUUGAUUUUAAUGUAUUUAAUUGGAUCUAGUGAUGAUAUGUAAGGGACUUCUUUGAUUUUAAUGUAUUUAAUUGGAUCUAGUGAUGAUAUGUGUGGCUCCAAUUGGGCCAAGCCAA